rnacentral:rRNA from 1 species
UCCUUAGAUGUCCUGGGCCGCACGCGUGCUACACUGAUGCAUACAGCGAGUACUUUCCAGCUCCGCGAGGCAGCUGGUAAUCAGCAAUAUGCAUCGUGCUGGGGAUAGAUCUUUGGAAUUAUAGAUCUUGAACGAGGAAUUCCUAGUAAGCGCAAGUCAUUAGCUUGCGCUGAUUAAGUCCCUGCCCUUUGUACACACCGCCCGUCGCUCCUACCGAUUUCGAGUGAUUCGGUGAACCUUUUGGACAGCGUCUGUCCUCGUGUCAGAUGCUGAAAGUCAAGUAAACCAUAUCACUUAGAGGAAGGAGAAGUCGUAACA